rnacentral:lncRNA from 1 species
ACUCAAUCAUGCACUCGUCAGACCAUCCGGCGUUGUGAUAUCUUCCAGGCCGUAAAGAACUCAGGAACUUAUGAUUUCCUGAUUGAUCAUGUUCCUUUUGGACCGCACUGUGUCGUCCAUCAGGUUAGAUUUCUUCUCCUUUCGCAAUCUUACUCGUGAAGUCACAAGUUUUAUGUGCUAAAUUGUUCUGUUCAGGGUGUGCCAACUCCUGCUGAAAUGAUUUUGCCGGACAUGAAUGUUCCAAUCGAUAUGAACGAGACUGAGCAGGUGAUUAGUUUACUUAUUGUAAUCGGUAUUACCUAAAACAAAACAGUUUGAUGCGAUGCUUAGUUAGAAUUCAUGUUCGUUUAUUGCAUUUUCACCAAAACCAGGAGAAUCUGACUGAAGAGUGCUCUAUCAAUAAUAGAGGGUUUGACCUCAACUCUGAUCUCCAGGUAGUUUUCUUUGAACUUCUAUUCUUGCAAUCAUAGUAGAUUGAUAUGCACUAAGAUGACUAUAUAGGCAACAUAUUGUUAAAUAACACACAUUGUAGCUUCAAUAUUUCAUCAAUCCAUGAGCCAUUUGCAGUAUUUGGUUCAGUGAAAGAUUUCAGUUUGAGCUUUUGUUGUUUUUGGAGUUGUUAGUUGAUAGUUUUGGGUAGCUAUUGCAUAGUAUAUAAACUAAGAAAGCAUUUGGUUGUUUUUGUUGCUUAACAUUUGAUUUUCUCUGCUAUGGAUUUGUACUUGUGGCUUUGGAUUCUGCAGUA